UGGGAUUUUUGCAGAGAAAAUGUGUGAUUUUUCGGUUACAUGAGGGAUUUCUUGCAGAGACAAUGCUUGAUUUUUGUUUAAAUGAGGGAUUUUGGCAGAGAACAUGCGUGAUUUUCGGGUUAAACGGGGGAUUUCUGCAAAAAAAAUCAUGAUUCUCGGGUAAAUUUGGUGUAGUUGAAGAGAAAAUGCAUGAUUUUGGGGUUAAAUGGGGAUUUUGGAAGAGAAAAUGCGCGUUGUUUGAGAUAAACAGGGGAUUUUUGUAGAGCGAAUGCAUGAUUUUGGGGUUAAAUGGGGGAUUUUCCAAGGGAAAAUUUGUGAUUUUCGGGUUAAAUGGGGGACUUUCCAAGGGAAAAGGCAUGAUUUUCUGGUUAAAUGGGGGAUUUUGGAAGAGCAAAUGUGUGAGUUUUGGUUAAAUGGGGGGUUUUCCAGAGAAAUGCAUGACUUUCUGUUCAAUGGAGGAUUUUUGUGGUGAAAAUGCGUGGUGUUCAGGUUAAAGCAGGGAUUUUCGAUGAGAAAAUACAUGAUUUGGGGGUUAAAUGUGUUUGUUUGUUUGUUUGUUUUAAGAGAAAACUUGUGAUUUUUGAUGAAUUAUGUAUUUUUUGAAGUGAAAAUGCGUGAUUUUCAGGUUAGAUCGGGAUUCUUGAAGAGAAAAUGCAUCAUUGUCGGGUUACAUGGGGGGAUUUCCAAAGAGAAAUCGCCUUUUUUUUUUUUUUUUUUUGGUUAAAUGGGGAUUUUUGAAGAGAAAUGCGUGAUUUUCAGAUUAAUGGGGGAUUGUUGAAGGGAAAAUGUGUGAUUUUCGGUUAAAUGGGGAUUUCGAAGAGAAAAUGGGUGAUUUUUGGGUUGAAACUGCUAUUUUUGUAGAGAAUAGGCAUGAUUUUUGGUUUAAAAAGAGGGAUUCUCAAAGAGAAAAUGCAUUAUGUUUGUUUAAGUGGGGUAUUUUUGAAGGGAAAAUGCAUGAUUUUUGGUUUAAAAGAGGGAUUCUCAAAGAGAAAAUGCAUUAUGUUUGUUUAAGUGGGGUAUUUUGAAGGGAAAAUGUGUGAUUUUCGGGUCAAAUGGGGAUUCUCGAAGAGAAAUUGCGUUUUUUUCUGGUUAAAUGGGGAUUUCCGAAGAGAAAAUGCAUGAUUUUCGUUUAGAUGUGAGGUUUUUGUAGAGGAAAUGCGUGAUUUUUUGGAUACAUGGGGAUUCUUGUAGCAAAAUGUUUGAUUUUGGGGUCCAAUGGGGGAUUUUUGAAGAGCAAAGGUGAUUUUCACGUUAAAUGGGGGGUUUUCCGUGAGAAAAUGUGUGAUUUGGGGGAUAAUGGGUAUUUUUGAAGAGAUAAAGCAUGAUUUUGGGGUAAAUGGGGGAUUUUGCAAGAGAAAAGGCGAGAUUGUUGAGUUAAAUGGGGGAUUUUGCAAGAGAAAAUGCGUGCUUUUGGGGUUAAAUGGGGGAUUGUUGAAGAGACAAUGCAUGAUUUGGGGGUUAAGGGGGGGAUUUUGAAGAGAAAAUGCUGAUUUUGUGGAAAAUGUGGGAUGUUGCAAGAGAAAAUGCAUGAUUUUCGGGUUAAAUGGGGAUUUUCGAAGAGGAAAUGCUUCGUUUCAGGUUGAAUUUGGGGUUUUUGAAGCCAAAAUGCGUGAUUUACACUUAAAUGGGGGAUUUUCCAAACGAAAAUGCAUGAUUUUCUUUUUAGAUGGGGAUUUUCAUAGAGAAAGCAUGAUUUUUGUGUUAAGUGGGGAUAUUUGCAAAAAAAAAAACGAGGCGUGAUUUUGGGUUAAACAGGGGAUUUUUGAAGAGAAAAUGUGUGAUUUUCAGUUAAAUCGGGAAUCUCUAAGAGAAAAUGCCUGAUGUUGCAUUAAAUGUGUGAUUUUCGUAGAGAUAAGCGUGAUUUUCAGGUUACAUGGGAGAUUUUUGCAGAGAAAAUGUGUGAUUUUCGGUUACAUGAGGGAUUCUUGCAGAGACAAUGCUUGAUUUUUGUUUAAAUGAGGGAUUUGGCAGAGAACAUGCGUGAUUUUCGGGUUAAACGGGGGAUUCUGCAAAAAAAAAUCAUGAUUCUGGGUAAAAUUUGGUGUAGUUGAAGAGAAAAUGCAUGAUUUUGGGGUUAAAUGGGGGAUUUUGAAGAGAAAAUGCGCGUUGUUUGAGAUAAACAGGGGAUUUUUGUAGAGCGAAUGCAUGAUUUUGGGGUUAAAUGGGGGAUUUUCCAAGGGAAAAUUUGUGAUUUUCGGGUUAAAUGGGGGACUUUCCAAGGGAAAAGGCAUGAUUUUCUGGUUAAAUGGGGGAUUUUGGAAGAGCAAAUGUGUGAGUUUUGGUUAAAUGGGGGGUUUUCCAGAGAAAAUGCAUGACUUUCUGUUCAAUGGAGGAUUUUGUGGUGAAAAUGCGUGGUGUUCAGGUUAAAGCAGGGAUUUUCGAUGAGAAAAUACAUGAUUUGGGGGUUAAAUGUGUUUGUUUGUUUGUUUGUUUUAAGAGAAACUUGUGAUUUUUGAUGAAUUAUGUAUUUUUGAAGUGAAAAUGCGUGAUUUUCAGGUUAGAUCGGGAUUCUUGAAGAGAAAAUGCAUCAUUGUCGGGUUACAUGGGGGAUUUCCAAAGAGAAAUCGCCUUUUUUUUUUUUUUUUUUUUGGUUAAAUGGGGGAUUUUUGAAGAGAAAAUGGUGAUUUUCAGAUAAUGGGGAUUGUUUGAAGGAAAAUGUGUGAUUU
rnacentral:lncRNA from 7 species